rfam:Nicotiana attenuata strain TT chromosome 2, whole genome shotgun sequence.
UGGACAUAUUAUUGUAUUCGACUGUGUUCACGGCGUGAAAUAGGGGAUUACACUGUUUUUAAUUUCGUGGAUCAAUUAACAUAAUAGACUCCU